AUUGAACGCUGGCGGCAGGCUUAACACAUGCAAGUCGAGCGGGGGAAGGUAGCUUGCUACUGGACCUAGCGGCGGACGGGUGAGUACUGCUUAGGAAUCUGCCUAUUAGUGGGGGACAACGUUCCGAAAGGGACGCUAAUACCUCAUACGUCCUACGGGAGAAAGCAGGGGAUCGUCGGACCUUGCGCUAAUAGAUGAGCCUAAGUCGGAGUAGCUAGUUGGGGGGGUAAAGGCCUACCAAGGCGACGAUCUGUAGCGGGGCUGAGAGGAUGAUCCGCCACACUGGGACUGAGAAACGGCCCAGACUCCGACGGGAGGCAGCAGUGGGGAAUAUUGGACAAUGGGGGGAACCCUGAUCCAGCCAUGCCGCGUGUGUGAAGAAGGCCUUUUGGUUGUAAAGCACUUUACGCGAGGAGGAGGCUUACCUGGUUAAUACCUGGGAUAAGUGGACGUUACUCGCAGAAUAAGCACCGGCUAACUCUGUGCCAGCAGCCGCCGCGGUA
rnacentral:rRNA from 1 species